UAGGGAAUCUUCCGCAAUGGACGCAAGGCUGACGGAGCAACGCCGCGGGAGUGAAGAAGGAUGUCGGUUCGUAAAACGGUGGUGGUAGAGAAGAAAAGCGCAUAGAGUAAGGGUUAUGCGUGUGACGGUAUCUAACCAGAAAGCCACGGCGAACGACGUGCAAGCAGCCGCGGUAAUACGUAGGUGGCAAGCGGUGUCCGGAGUUAUUGGGCGUAAAGCGAGCGCAGGCGGUCAAUUAAGUCUGAUGUGAAAGCCCCCGGCUCAACCGGGGAGGGUCAUUGGAAACUGGUUGACUUGAGUGCAGAAGAGGAGAGUGGAAUUCCAUGUGUAGCGGUGAAAUGCGUAGAUAUAUGGAGGAACACCAGUGGCGAAGGCGACUCUCUGGUCUGUAACUGACGCUGAGGCUCGAAAGCGUGGGUAGCAAACAGG
rnacentral:rRNA from 1 species